AGAAAUGGUGCUGGUGACAGUGCAGGGACACCCGCUGUGAGCUGGUGACACGGCUGCAAUGUGUACAGAGGCAUGACAAGGAACAAGCAGUCAAGAGUGGUGUUUCUCUGUGUGUCCCUUCCAGGGGGAGGGAGCUACAGGUCUAAAGCUUCCAAAGAACAAAAGCCACUGCUGGAGGCAGUGUAAAAAACUGUGGGAAUUUUUUAAGUCACAAUGCCAUAUUUCCUUGGCUAAAGUCCUGAGAAAACAGAGCAGGGACAGUUGUCCAGCAGAGUCAACAGCACAUUCUCAAACUUCUACUGGGGAAUUCUUUUGCUUGGUUUCCAAAUUGCACAGAAUUAAAAUAAAAACAGUUAUUUUGCUUUCUCCUCAGCCGAUUUUGGCCUCUCUACUCAACUCACCCCUGAGAAGAAUACACGGAGCGUGUAAGCAGGGACUGUUUGGUGGAUGGCACCUGAAGUGGUGACAGGUCAACCAUAUGGCCCCAAAGUGGACAUAUGGUCUUUUGGAAUUGUGGGAAUUGAAAUGGUGGAACAAGAACCUCCUUACUGGAACCAGAGUCCUGCCUUGGCUAAAUUCAUGAUAGCCUCAAUAGGGACCCCACAGCUGCUGCAUCCCAAGCUCCUCUCGGCUUGGCUGCGUGACUUCCUGAGCUGCUGCCUGCAGGCAGACGAGGAGCGGUGCUGGUCUGCCAAGGAGCUCCUGCAGCAUCCAUUUGUAACAUCAUCCAAGCCACCAUCCAUCCUGGCACCACUCAUCAUUGCAGUGGAGAAGAAGAAAAAGAAGAACUAGGUGACGAAAAUGUAACAAUAAUUUGAAGAUGUUAACUUCAUAAGAAAUUUAAAGUAGAAUUGUAGAGUUGGAUUGUAGAGUAGGAUUCUAGAGUAGGGCUGUUGAAGAGUUUUGUAAAGUAGGAUUAUAGAUUAGGAUUGGAAUUAAAUAAAGUUUUGGAAACAUGUA